rnacentral:lncRNA from 1 species
GAUGCAAAACUUGUUCCUUUCCUGAGUGCCUAGCCAAGCCACGGUGGCUGAGGAACAGGUACGGAGCUUGUCAAAGGCUUUGAUUCUCAUUCUGAGACAGAAGAAGUUUCCCAUCUCUUCUCACUUGGAUUUGGACAGCAUCCAGACAAGAGUGAAUAAAGAAGGUGACUUUUUGGUGAGAAGAGACUGGAGCAAACCGUAGAAACUUGAAAUCCAAAGUGGGCAAAGUCAAAGGGGCUGAAGUCCAGACCAGGUUUCGGUGCCAUCAUAAAAGCAUCAUCUGCACUCAGUUUUGCUUCCACUGCACAGAGACUUUUGAAAUUGUGCUCUUUGUUGAUGACCACACAGUACUGAAUGGGUUGUUUCAGCAAAGAGGCAGUGGGGCUUGGUUUCCAGGCCAAAGUGACCGUGGUGCGCCCCAGUGAGGUCACAUCUACUCUUGGGUCAUAGGGUAACUCAGGGUAUGGCUGAUCAGAUUCUGGAGUUGUGGUGGCAUAUACUUUGAAAUGUGUGUCUUUCUCUGUUGAAAGAAGAUCCAACUGAUAUAAACCGGAUGGGGAACUAGACGAUAUAAAAUACUCAACAUCAUUGCCUUUGUAGGAGAAUAACUCAGUGCCU